ensembl:misc_RNA
CGCGGUGUAGCCCAAAUUCGGACAAUCUCUGCAGAUGAUAACAAACCCCAAAGAGAAGCGUUCGCGCCAGCCAAAUAAAAGAAGAGCACAGCCAUCUCUCGGA